GCUUGAAGAUAGCUCAGUGGCAGAGCGGUGGGGCGUCUACCCAUGCGGCCCGGGUUCGAUCCCCGGUCGAUGCA